rnacentral:rRNA from 1 species
GACGAACGCUGGCGGCGUGCCUAAUACAUGCAAGUCGAGCGAAGUUUUUCUGGUGCUUGCACUAGAAAAACUUAGCGGCGAACGGGUGAGUAACACGUAAAGAACCUGCCUCAUAGACUGGGACAACUAUUGGAAACGAUAGCUAAUACCGGAUAACAGUAUUUCUCGCAUGAGAGAUAUGUAAAAGGUGGGUAUGCGAACACGAGGAGAUGGCUUUGCGGUGCAUUAGCUAGUUGGCGGGGGAAAGGCCCACCAAGGCGACGAUGCAGAGCCGACCUGAGAGGUUGAUCGGCCACCCUGGGACUGCGCCCCGGCCCAGACUCCUACGGGAGGCAGCAUUCGGGCAUCUUCCGCACUGGGCGCCCGCCUGACGGCGCAACGCCGCGUGAGUGAAGAAGGCUUUCGGUUCGUACAGCUCUGUUGUUAGGGAAGAAUGGAUAUGUAGUAACUAUACAUGUCAGCGACGGUACCUAACCAGAAAGCCACGGCUAACUACGUG